UGGGGAAUAUUGCACAAUGGGCGCAAGCCUGAUGCAGCCAUGCCGCGUGUGUGAAGAAGGCCUUCGGGUUGUAAAGCACUUUCAGCGGGGAGGAAGGCGAUAAGGUUAAUAACCUUGUCGAUUGACGUUACCCGCAGAAGAAGCACCGGCUAACUCCGUGCCAGCAGCCGCGGUAAUACGGAGGGUGCAAGCGUUAAUCGGAAUUACUGGGCGUAAAGCGCACGCAGGCGGUCUGUCAAGUCGGAUGUGAAAUCCCCGGGCUCAACCUGGGAACUGCAUUCGAAACUGGCAGGCUAGAGUCGUGUAGAGGGGGGUAGAAUUCCAGGUGUAGCGGUGAAAUGCGUAGAGAUCUGGAGGAAUACCGGUGGCGAAGGCGGCCCCCUGGACAAAGACUGACGCUCAGGUGCGAAAGCGUGGGGAGCAAACAGG
rnacentral:rRNA from 1 species